AUUGAACGCUGGCGGCAGGCCUAACACAUGCACGUCGAACGAGUGGCGGACGGGUGCGUCAUGUCUGGGAAACUGCCUGCUGGAGGGGGAUAACUACUGGAAACGGUAACUAAUACCGCCUACCAUCGGAUGUGCCCAGAUGGGAUUAGCUAGUAGGUGGGGUAAAGGCUCACCUCGGCGACGAUCCCUAGCUGGUCUGAGAGGAUGAACAGCCACACUGGAACUGAGACACGGGCCAGACGCCUACGGGAGGCAGCAGUGGGUAAUAUUGCACAAUGGGCGCAAGCCGGAUGCAGCCAUGCCGCGUGUAUGAAGAAGGCCUUCGGGUUGUAAAGUACUGUCAGCGAGGAGGCGUUACCCGCAGAAGAAGCACCGGCUAACUCCGUGCCAGCAGCCGCGGUAAUUC
rnacentral:rRNA from 1 species